GAUGAACGCUGGCGGCGUGCCUAAUACAUGCAAGUCGAGCGAACAGACGAGGAGCUUGCUCCUCUGACGUUAGCGGCGGACGGGUGAGUCACACGUGGAUAACCUACCUAUAAGACUGGGAUAACUUCGGGAAACCGGAGCUAAUACCGGAUAAUAUAUUGAACCGCAUGGUUCAAUAGUGAAAGACGGUUUUGCUGUCACUUAUAGAUGGAUCCGCGCCGCAUUAGCUAGUUGGUAAGGUAACGGCUUACCAAGGCAACCAUGCGUAGCCGACCUGAGAGGGUGAUCGGCCACACUGGAACUGAGACACGGUCCAGACUCCUACGGGAGGCAGCAGUAGGGAAUCUUCCGCAAUGGGCGAAAGCUUGACGGAGCAACGCCGCGUGAGUGAUGAAGGUCUUCGGAUCGUAAAACUCUGUUAUGAGGGAAGAACAAAUGUGUAAGUAACUAUGCACGUCUUGACGGUACCUAAUCAGAAAGCCACGGCUAACUACGUG
rnacentral:rRNA from 1 species